UACGGGGGGAGCAAGCGUUGUUCGGAUUUACUGGGCGUAAAGGGCGCGUAGGCGGCCACCGCAAGUCGACUGUGAAAUCUCCGGGCUUAACCCGGAAAGGUCAGCCGAUACUGCGGGGCUAGAGUGCAGAAGGGGCAACUGGAAUCCUCGGUGUAGCGGUGAAAUGCGUAGAUAUCGAGAGGAACACCUGCGGCGAAGGCGGGUUGCUGGGCUGACACUGACGCUGAUGUGCGAAAGCUAGGGGAGCGAACGGG
rnacentral:rRNA from 1 species